GCAUUGGAUGGAUGCCCGGGCAUUGAGAAGGAAGGAUGCUUUCAGAGGCAAAAGGCCAUGGAGAGAUCUCGUCUGUGAUCUAUGGAUCUCCGAUCGGGAAACCGUAUCCAAGCUCCUGGCUAGUCUGAACUCUUUGGACUUUUCAAACUUAGUGAACUGAAACAUCUUAGUAGCUAAAGGAAGGGAAAUCAACCAAGACUCUGUUAGUAGCGGCGAGCGAGAGGUGAUUGGGGGUUUUCAGGAAAAGAAAGACGUGGAUUUGUUCAUUGACUGAAGUCGAUCUUCUUAAGAACCACUCCGUGGGGUCGAGCGAGUUCCUCAGCAAAGUGUGAACAUGAACUUCUUUUCCUUUUUUGCCAAGUUUCAUUCGAUUUGUUGUGGAUUGGAUGAUGGAAAAACCAGCAAGCUACUUGACCUUUCAUACGAGGUCAAGGAUCAAAGAAUUUGAGUUGUGAAAAGGUUGAAGAUCUGGCCAAAGAAGGUGAUAGCCCUGUAGAUUAAUUCCCAUGGUUCGAUCCUCCCCAGUCAAACGCGGCGUGUUCAAAUUCUGAUUGCUUUUACACGAGAAAGGGGGACCACCCUCUAAGCCUAAGUAUUCCUCAAUGACCGAUAGCGUACAAGUACCUUGAGGGAAAGGUGAAAAGAACCCUAUUUAGGGAGUGAAAUAGAGAACCUGAAAUUCGAUGC
rnacentral:ncRNA from 1 species